rnacentral:lncRNA from 1 species
UUUGUAGAGCUGAAAUAGCAGACGCUUCUACAAACAACUUGUUACAUACUUGUGUGGGGGAGUAGAUAUUGGGAACAAGAAACUUAAUUGCCUCUAUUAUUUGUACAUUAGUACCAUUUUCAUGUGAAAUUCAUUAUGACUUAUCUUCAAUUUGAACUCCCACUGAUCUGCUAAACAAAAGUAUGUAUUGGUGCCUCUGAGAUCAGUUCUUUCAAAAUGAAAUGUUAGACUAUCUCCAGUCCUCUAGGUUCUCAACAAUGGUAUUGCUGUAAGUUUAUAGCACUCGAAUAAUUGGCCUUCAACAGCAAGUAUUGCAGAUCUGCCUGACUGGCAGAAAAUGCCAGUUCUUUAUUCAGAAAAAUAUGGAUGGGAGAGUGAAUGGUUUGCAUGUAAUUACAAAAUAAUGUGGAUUACAAAUUCAUAACUCCCCCACAAAAUACGCUUUACAGUUCCCCCAGAUCUCCCCCAAAUACUUAAAUAUGCCUUGAGCAGGAAGGGUAAAGUGCAUACAAGCAAGAAAGUACUUCGGUUUCAGACCGGAAUUCAUACUACAAGUUUGAAUCUAAACAGUUAUUUACUGAAUACUAGGUUUGCCUGCGGAUCCCCUGCAUGUGGGCACAUUAGGGGCUGGCAACACAAGCAGUCAUUCUUCAGACUAGAUGUGCCUUAACAUGAUCUCGAAAUUGCAGGCACACUAAGGAAUAAUAAUGAGAUGCAGUCUGGCAAGCAUACUUCCCUUAAAGAGACAUGGUCUCGAUGCACAGAUGCAAAAAUAGGAGAGAAAUUCUUAAUGCUGGCUUUUCACCAUACCAGAUGGAGCUUCAAUCUUUUUUUUUUUUCCCCUCCAAAUAAAAGCAAGAAAACCCUAACAACAUUUGAAACAAGAUCUUGCUGCAGUGGGUAUACAAUCAUGAAGAUCACUGGCUGGAUGGUUAAGGUGGAAAGCAACACGACCUUUAGCAAGACUCGCAGAAGAACAGCAAAGGGCCUAGCACUGGUGUCACUCCAGCGCAAGCAGCAUAAAGAACUUUAGUGUGGACAGUGCAACGAAAAACAGUCGGAUGCCUUGUAAAGAAGCAGUGAUUGACUGAAAUCUUAGUUGCUGCAAAUAAUUAUUGCUGUCCCUGCUGCAAAGAGGAGGUGAACAGAGGUGUUGUGUGAUGUAUUUAGUCAAUGCGAAGCAAAAUAUUGGCUGUUGUGGAAAAUUUUGCAUGUUGUUAACACCUCUUCUAAUAUGAAGAGGUUUGGCAACUCUUAGUAAACUAUAUUAGAAGGAUGUUCAAACUUAAUUCUGUGAGCUUUUCAGGUGAAAAUAUUUCAGAUAAACAGUGAGCUGAGUAUAUUGAGAAUCCAAUUCUUCUUGAAGCCUGUUCAUUUAGAACUGCAGAGCCAGCUUGGGAGUGUCUUUCGCUGACAAACCUUUCCCAGUAGCAGAGAAAAU